rnacentral:rRNA from 1 species
CCCCAGUAGCGGCGAGCGAACGGGGAGCAGCCCAGAGCCUGAAUCAGUGUGUGUGUUAGUGGAAGCGUCUGGAAAGGCGUGCGAUACAGGGUGACAGCCCCGUACACAAAAAUGCACAUACUGUGAGCUCGAUGAGUAGGGCGGGACACGUGGUAUCCUGUCUGAAUAUGGGGGGACCAUCCUCCAAGGCUAAAUACUCCUGACUGACCGAUAGUGAACCAGUACCGUGAGGGAAAGGCGAAAAGAA